AGGCACUCAAAUUGAUUUAGUAAGUCUGUUUCUUAACUUUAUUAUGGUAAAUCAGAAGAACUUGUCUUUAGACAGGGCCUUUGCUUUCACUCAAUGAAUCUCAUAAUUGUACAGAAAAACUUAAUUUUGAAUGUAAUAAGUCUGCCUGAGUAUGUAAAUAGCCUAAAACAAUAGCUCUUACAGGGGAGGUCUGUGCUAUUUAUGAGGUUACCAAUAACAAUUUAGAUGCCAGGUCUGUAUCUCACUGCUGAUCAAAGCAUGUUAGAAGGAGCUGGAAGAUCACAGAUCUGCACGAUCUACCACAAAUGAAAGCUGAUUUUGGUGCUAUAAGCAGAUAGCAUCAAGGAGAUUCUACCAUUUUGCCCCCAGCCCUCAAUCUGACCUGUGGAGCUAAGAAACUAGAGAGGAAGAGCCUAGUACAGGGGUAUGUGGGAACCCCAACAAAGGGAAGGCUCUCCUGGAGAGACCAGUGGGACACCUAAGCCUACACCUGCCUGGCCCCACCAUGCUCACUCAAAAAAAGGGGAGCCUGGACUGCUCUGGUGGUGAAUGUAGGGCUAAGCAGUUUUUUCCCUAGUUCCAAUGACUGCUGCUCCUCCCUUUGUUCAAUGCUAGUACAGCUUCAGGCAGACCCCACUGCACUGCUUCCUCUUGGAUCACGUUUUUAAUUGUGACUUUUAAACCUGAGACCUGUGAUUGUGACAUCACUGAGGACUAUGACCCCAAGACCUCCAUGUGCUCAUGCCUUCAUCUGCCCUGCUCAGAAGUGUUUCUGAACCCUCAUGAGAGGGAGCCAAGUGGGCACCCUCAUAAUCCACUGAGAAUGAUACCUCAUUGUGGCCUCUGAAGUACCUUUUCCCUCAGUUUGAGCCUAUUGGCUGUAGCUGACUUCUCUGAGAAAAGACAGCAUUCUAGUCGUCCCCCCUCCCCUAAAGGGCUGCUACUGCAAUCACUCUCCAUUUCGCCAAUGAGUGCCCCAGAAGACUUCAUUUGACACCUCAGUCUGUUCUGCUCGACAAAGUCAAAGUAACUUCAGUGGCUGACUGAUAUAAUCUCGACAACAGUGAAAACUUGUGUUAUCUGUUGAAUACCAGUGCUCUCAAACUGCAAGAAAAAGAUGACAUGGCCCCAUCCCACUGAGACUGCAAACUAGGAGAUAUUGAAGUUAACAGAACUGGAUCUCAUGCCUGCAAACACCACACACCAUUUCAUCCAAAGAUGCCAAGUUACUAAGGUUGACAAGCAAAGAUGAAGAGUCUAAAGUUAGCAGCAAAAUGGCCUUUGGAAGCCAUACAGGAAUGAGUCAGAGCCUUAUUGCUGGAAGGAGCUCUCUGAAUCAGAAAAGGAGAACGGCUGAGCUCCCAUAAGGCAGAAAAACAAUAUAGCAUGCAGUAACUGCAUCUGAAACAAAACUUAGCCCUACAGGUGACCCAAACACGGAUUUGGGAGGGAAAAAAGAUAACAUUUAAAAAGAGUUAACACCUCAGAUCAGGAAUGUG